GAACCCUCAGGGCACCAGUGCAAGGCACGGACAGUGGCCAAACAGAACCAAGAUUUUCCAGGCUGUCAGCCUGAUACAUGCAGAGCCUCAAGUUUCCUUCGCGAGCAUGCAGAUAGAGUUCCACAUGAGACCCUGUAGCUGAGGCAGGAUGGUGGCCAGAAGACAUCCAGGACCGUGAAAGGACAGAUGGCAUGUAGGCAAAAGAUUACAUGGGUCCGCACUACGAGGGUCAUAUGGUGGCCGAAAGGACUCUCGUUUCCCAAGCGUGGAGGCCGUCUGAUGGUCUGAAGGAACCCACAACCAAGCGUGCACACAGACCUGCAGAUUGGCUAUACCUCAGCUGGGCUACGAUGGACUCCAAGUUCAAGGUGUCAGCCUGUAGAUGUGAUUCACUUCUGUUCCCACAUGUCUCCACGUUCUCCUUGGACCAGUGGCUACACAGGAUAGGCUGUUCUCAUGGCAACCAGAGGAAUGCAAGAGGCUAAACCCAGCUAUGCAAAUUUCUCUGUCUAGUACUUCCAGUACUAUGUUGAAAAGUGGUGAGAGUGGACAUCCUUGCCUUGUUCCUGAUCUUAGAGGAAAAGCUCUCAAGCUUUCACCAUUAAGGUGUCGCCUCUGUACCCGGAAGAGGAGGAUGACUCAAUCUCUAACCAGUAGAGCUGUACAGCAACUUAAAUCUCCAUUACAACUGGAAAAAAAAGGCAGAGCAGAAAAUUAGAUCUACGGAACCGUUUCAAUUAGAUACUGCAUGAAAGAACUCUCUGACGACAGCCAUUAAGAAAUCCAGGAGUGGAAUAGAGUACAGCAUACAGAAAUGUAUUUUAUAUGGGAAGUCUUGGUUCUAGUUGAUAUUUAAGAAAAUUCUGUAAAGCUAUAUUCUCACAGUUGGAGGCAACAACGGGAUUAUGACAGUGGAUACUGUCACCAAAGGAAAGUGAG